CCUACGGGAGGCAGCAGUAGGGAAUAUUGGGCAAUGGAGGCAACUCUGACCCAGCCAUGCCGCGUGCAGGAAGACGGUCCUCUGGAUUGUAAACUGCUUUUGAAUGGGAAGAAACGCACUUUUGCGAAAGUGUUUGACGGUACUAUUAGAAUAAGCACCGGCUAACUCCGUGCCAGCAGCCGCGGUAAUACGGAGGGUGCAAGCGUUAUCCGGAUUUAUUGGGUUUAAAGGGUGCGUAGGCGGCUUGAUAAGUCUGGGGUUAAAGGCGGCAGCUUAACUGUACGCAUGCCCUGGAAACUGUUAAGCUUGAGUGACUUGGAGGUAGCUGGAAUUCCCUGUGUAGCGGUGAAAUGCAUAGAUACGGGGAGGAAUACCGAUUGCGAAGGCAUGUUACUACGAGUAAACUGACGCUGAUGCACGAAAGCGUGGGGAUCAAACAGGAUUAGAUACCCUGGUAGUCCACGCCGUAAACGAUGAUUACUAGUUGUUGGGCGAUAGUUCAGUGACCAAGGGAAACCGAUAAGUAAUCCACCUGGGGAGUACGCCGGCAACGGUGAAACUCAAAGGAAUUGACGG
rnacentral:rRNA from 1 species